CCGUAAGGCGCAAGGAAGCUG
rnacentral:siRNA from 1 species